UACGUAGGGGGCAAGCGUUGUCCGGAUUUAUUGGGCGUAAAGAGCGUGUAGGCGGUUAUACAGGUCCGCUGUGAAAACUGGAGGCUUAACCUCCAGACGUCGGUGGAAACCGUAUGACUAGAGUCCGGAAGAGGAGAGUGGAAUUCCGUGGUGUAGCGGUGAAAUGCGCAGAUAUCAGGAAGAACACCCGUGGCGAAGGCGGCUCUCUGGGACGGUACUGACGCUGAGACGCGAAAGCGUGGGGAGCGAACAGG
rnacentral:rRNA from 1 species